rnacentral:rRNA from 1 species
CUGGCAGUAAACGGUGCACGCUUGGUGUGGGAGGGUUCGACCCCUUCUGUGCCGGAGCUAACGCGUUAAGCGUGCCGCCUGGGGAGUACGGUCGCAAGAUUAAAACUCAAAGAAAUUGACGGGGACCCGCACAAGCGGUGGAGCAUGUGGCUUAAUUCGAUGCAACGCGAAGAACCUUACCUGGGCUUGACAUGUUAGUCGUAGACUUGUGAAAGCUUGUCGUCACUUCGGGUGGACUAUCACAGGUGC